CCUACGGGGAGCAGCAGUGGGGAAUAUUGCACAAUGGGGGAAACCCUGAUGCAGCGACGCCGCGUGAGCGAUGAAGUAUUUCGGUAUGUAAAGCUCUAUCAGCAGGGAAGAAAAUGACGGUAACUGACUAAGAAGCCCCGGCUAACUACGUGCCAGCAGCCGCGGUAAUACGUAGGGGGCAAGCGUUAUCCGGAUUUAUUGGGUUUAAAGGGAGCGUAGACGGGGUGUCAAGUCAGAUGUGAAAGUCCGCGGCUCAACCCUCAUACUGCAUUUGAUACUGGUCUGCUGGAGUGCAGGCGAGGCAGGCGGAAUUCCUAGUGUAGCGGUGAAAUGCUUAGAUAUUACGAAGAACUCCAAUGGCGAAGGCAGCCUGCUGGAC
rnacentral:rRNA from 1 species